rnacentral:lncRNA from 1 species
UACUCUUUAACCCUUAGGUAGCCGAGCUACGAAGACUCUAAUUCUCAUAUUCAGAUGAGAUACGUAUGCAGUGGAUGCGACAUCCGUGCGAGUCAUUUUCUUUCGACCCCUUUUUUUAGUAAGUAGUACAUUAGAUAUACACGCACCCUUUAGACAAGAACUACAAAAGUGGAUCCCAUAGAGUACUACGGAUACGUAGGGGUGCU